rnacentral:rRNA from 1 species
UAAAAUUAAAACAUAGCAUAAAGUGGAUGCCUUGACUUGAAUGUCCGAAGAAAGACGUAUAAGCCUGCGAUAAGCUUGGAGGAGUUGGCAAAAAACAUUAUUACUCCAAGAUUUCUGAAUGGGGGAACCUAAUGUAGGUAUUCUACAUUACUCUAAAAAGAGUGGAUACAAUGUGAACUGAAAUAUCUAAGUAACAUUGGAAAAGAAAUCAAUUGAGAUUCCCUUAGUAGUGACGAACGAAAUGGGAACAGCCUAAACCGUAAAUACUGUAUAGAUAGCUUUUGGUAUUAUGGGGUGUGGAAAUAAUAGUGAGAAGGCUAUUAGACUCGAUAUAGAAUAUUAUUAUUAAGAGAAUAACUUGAGAAAGUUAACCAUAGAUGGUUAAAGUCCAGUAUCAUAAAAUAAUUUUGUUUUGUAUUUAUUAUUUCCCGAGUAGGAUCAGGCACGUGUAACCUGGUUUGAAUAUAGGAGGACCACCUUCUAAGGCUAAAUAGCAUUCAAGAUCGAUAGUGAACUAGUACCAUGAGGGAAAGGUGAAAAGAACCCCGGGAGGGGAGUGAAAUAGAUUCUGAAACUUUAUGCUUUUAAAGAGUAGGAGCCUUCGGGUGACUAUGUACUUUUUGUAGAACGGACCAACGAGUUAAUGUAUAUGGCAAGGUUAAGAUUUUAUAUUCGGAGCCGUAGUGAAAGCGAGCCUUAAUAGGGCGUUUAGUCAUAUAUAUUAGACCCGAAACUGAGUGAGCUUCCCAUGAGCAGGCUGAAGCGGUGGUAAAACACUGUGGAGGGCCGAACCAUUUGGAGCUGCAAGUCCAUUGGAUGACUUGUGGGAAGGAGUGAAAAGCUAAUCGAACUCAGAGAUAGCUGGUUCUCCGCGAAAGUAAAUCCUGAUAAACUUCGAAUACUACAUAAAUUAUACCGGGAGUCAGACUAUGACAGAUAAGUGCCAUAGUCAAAAGGGAAACAGCCCAGAUUACUGUCUAAGGUCCCUAAUUAACAACUAAGUGGAAAAGGAUGUGAGGUUGCUGAGACAACCAGGAGGUUGGCUUAGAAGCAGCCAUUCCUUAAAAGAGUGCGUAAUAGCUCACUGGUCAAGCGACCUUGCGCCUAAAAUUCAACGGGGCUAAAGUUGUUAACCGAAGACGUAAACUUCAUAUUUAUAUGGAUUGGUAGCGGAGCGUUCUGUAUGUCGCUGAAGGUGAAGGGUGAUCUUUGCUGGAGAUAUCAGAAGUGAAAAUGUUGGUAUGAGUAACGUAAGGGAGAUGAAAACUCUCCCCGCCAAAAACCUAAGGUUUCCUGUUCAACGUCAGUCGUAGCAGGGUUAGUCGGUCCUAAGGUAAACCUGAAAGGGGUAGCUGAUGGAUAUCAGGUUAAUAUUCCUGAACUAUUUAUAAUUUUUCUACGGGGGGACAUAUCGGGAUAUAGGAGGUAGUUAAUUACUUCUAUUACGAAAGCGAGUCUUGAAAUAUUGGAAAAUCCGUAUUUCUUUAAGGGCGAGUUAAGUUAAAUUGAUUUUAUUGAUUCAUUUCAAUAAAUGAUGUGGCUUCUAAUAUAUUCUGGUAUCAAGAAAAGCCUCUAUGAUUUAUAAUUAUAAAUAACCGUACCGUAAUCGAACACUCGUAGGUUGGUAGAGAAUACCAAGGCGAACGAGAUAACUAUGCUUAAGGAACUCGGCAAAAUAGCGGUCGUAACUUCGGGAUAAGACCUGCCUAUCUAUUAAUUUAAUUGAUAGGCCGCAGCGAAAGAGCCCAGGCGACUGUUUACCAAAAACAUAGCUCUCUGCAAACUCGCAAGAGGAUGUAUAGGGGGUGAUGCCUGCCCAGUGCCAGAAGGUUACGUGGAUGUGUGCAAGCAUUGAAACUAAGCCCUGGUGAACGGCGGCCGUAACUAUAACGGUCCUAAGGUAGCGAAAUUCCUUGUCAGGUAAGUUCUGACCCGCACGAAUGGCAUAACGGUCUGGGCACUGUCUCAAGCAUAGGCUCGGUGAAAUUGCAAUAUCGGUAAAAAUGCCGAUUACUUGCAGCAAGACGGAAAGACCCUAUGGAGCUUUACUAUAGCUUGGCAUUGGGUUAUGUUUUAAGAUGUGCAGUAUAGGUGGGAGACUGUGAAGUAUGGAUGCUAAUCUGUAUGGAGUCAAAAUUUGAGAUACCACCCUUCUUAAAAUGUAACUCUAACCUGUUAAUCAGGAACAGUGCUUGGUGGGUAGUUUAACUGGGGCGGUUGCCUCCUAAAGAGUAACGGAGGCGCGCAAAGGUUCACUAUCUUCGGAUGGAAAUCGAAGAGAUAGUGUAUUCGCAUAAGUGAGCCUGACUGAGAGACUUACAAGUCGAUCAGACACGAAAGUGGGCGAAAGUGAUCCGGCACUAAUGAGUGGAAAUAGUGUCGCUCAACGGAUAAAAGUUACCCUAGGGAUAACAGGCUGAUCGUGUCCAAGAGUUCACAUCGACGACACGGUUUGGCACCUCGAUGUCGGCUCGUCGCAUCCUGGGGCUGGAGAAGGUCCCAAGGGUAUGGCUGUUCGCCAUUUAAAGCGGUACGCGAGCUGGGUUCUCGGUUGUCAGGUAUACUGGCACUGCCGAGUAGCUAAGUUUGGAAGGGAUAACCACUGAAAGCAUCUAAGUGGGAAGCCUACUUCAAGAUUAGAUUUCUCCUAGUUUAACUAGAUAAGUCCCCUUGGAGACUACAAGGUUGAUAGGUUGCAAGUGUAAGAAUAGUGAUAUUUUCAGCUGAGCAAUACUAAUGGACGAAUGAAUUUUAAUAC